CAAGCUGGCUCACAAGCGACGACGGGUAGCCGGCCUGAGAGGGCGACCGGCCACACUGAGGACUGAGACACGGCCCAGACUCCACGGGAGGCAGCAGUGGGGAAUAUUGCACAAUGGGCGAAAGCCUGAUGCAGCGACGCCGCGUGAGGGAUGACGGCCUUCGGGUUGUAAACCUCUUUCAGCAGGGAAGAAGCGAAAGUGACGGUACCUGCAGAAGAAGCGCCGGCUAACUACGUGCCAGCAGCCGCGGUAAUACGUAGGGCGCAAGCGUUGUCCGGAAUUAUUGGGCGUAAAGAGCUCGUAGGCGGUCUGUCGCGUCGGAUGUGAAAGCCCGGGGCUUAACCCCGGGUCUGCAUUCGAUACGGGCAGACUAGAGUGUGGUAGGGGAGAUCGGAAUUCCUGGUGUAGCGGUGAAAUGCGCAGAUAUCAGGAGGAACACCGGUGGCGAAGGCGGAUCUCUGGGCCAUUACUGACGCUGAGGAGCGAAAGCGUGGGGAGCGAACAGGAUUAGAUACCCUGGUAGUCCACGCCGUAAACGGUGGGAACUAGGUGUUGGCGACAUUCCACGUCGUCGGUGCCGCAGCUAACGCAUUAAGUUCCCCGCCUGGGGAGUACGGCCGCAAGGCUAAAACUCAAAGGAAUUGACGGGGGCCCGCACAAGCAGCGGAGCAUGUGGCUUAAUUCGACGCAACGCGAAGAACCUUACCAAGGCUUGACAUCGCCCGGAAAGCCGUAGAGAUACGGCCCCCCUUGUGGUCGGGUGACAGGUGGUGCAUGGCUGUCGUCAGCUCGUGUCGUGAGAUGUUGGGUUAAGUCCCGCAACGAGCGCAACCCUUGUUCUGUGUUGCCAGCAUGCCCUUCGGGGUGAUGGGGACUCACAGGAGACUGCCGGGGUCAACUCGGAGGAAGGUGGGGACGACGUCAAGUCAUCAUGCCCCUUAUGUCUUGGGCUGCACACGUGCUACAAUGGCAGGUACAAUGAGCUGCGAUACCGCAAGGUGGAGCGAAUCUCAAAAAGCCUGUCUCAGUUCGGAUUGGGGUCUGCAACUCGACCCCAUGAAGUCGGAGUUGCUAGUAAUCGCAGAUCAGCAUUGCUCCUGAAUACGUUCCCGGGCCUUGUACACACCGCCCGUCACGUCACGAAAGUCGGUAACACCCGAAGCCGGUGCCCCAUCA
rnacentral:rRNA from 1 species